AUUGAACGCUGGCGGCAUGCCUUACACAUGCAAGUCGAACGGUAACGGGCCUUCGGGUGCCGACGAGUGGCGAACGGGUGAGUAAUACAUCGGAACGUGCCCGAUCGUGGGGGAUAACGAGGCGAAAGCUUUGCUAAUACCGCAUACGAUCUACGGAUGAAAGCAGGGGACCGCAAGGCCUUGCGCGGACGGAGCGGCCGAUGGCAGAUUAGGUAGUUGGUGGGAUAAAAGCUUACCAAGCCGACGAUCUGUAGCUGGUCUGAGAGGAUGAUCAGCCACACUGGGACUGAGACACGGCCCAGACUCCUACGGGAGGCAGCAGUGGGGAUUUUUGGACAAAGGGCGCAAGCCUGAUCCAGCCAUGCCGCGUGCAGGAUGAAGGCCUUCGGGUUGUAAACUGCUUUUGUACGGAACGAAAAGCCUUCUUUUAAUACAGGAGGGUCAUGACGGUACCGUAAGAAUAAGCACCGGCUAACUACGUG
rnacentral:rRNA from 1 species